rnacentral:rRNA from 1 species
UACGAAGGGGGCUAGCGUUGCUCGGAAUCACUGGGCGUAAAGCGCACGUAGGCGGAUCUUUAAGUCAGGGGUGAAAUCCUGGAGCUCAACUCCAGAACUGCCUUUGAUACUGAGGAUCUCGAGUCCGGGAGAGGUGAGUGGAACUGCGAGUGUAGAGGUGAAAUUCGUAGAUAUUCGCAAGACACCAGUGGCGAAGGCGGCUCACUGGCCCGGUACUGACGCUGAGGUGCGAAAGCGUGGG